rnacentral:rRNA from 1 species
GAUGAACGCUAGCUGCAGGCUUAACACAUGCAAGUCGAGGGACCGGCGCACGGGUGAGUAACACGUAUCCAACCUGCACUUUACUAGGUGAUAGCCUUUCGAAAGAAAGAUUAAUACCCGAUGUAACGGAGGGGGAUGCGUUCGAUUAGGUUGGUGGUGCGGAAACGGCUCACCAAGCCUUCGAUGGAUAGGUGUUCUGAGAGGAAUGGCCCCACAAUGGUAACGGAGACACGGUCUAAAAUCCUACGGGAGGAAGCAGUGAUGAAUAUUGGUCAAGGGGCUUUAGCCUGAACCAGCCAAGUAGCGUGAAGGAUGAAGGCUUAGGGGUCUUAAACUUUUUUUAUAUAAGAAUAUGUAUUAUAGCAAUAAGGAUCGGCUAACUCCGUGCCAGCAGCCGCGGUAAUAC